rnacentral:miRNA from 1 species
UUGCAGCACUGUUAAGUCGAUACCGCAUUGUCCCCCUCCCUCUCUCUCUCUUUCUUUCUCUGUGUGUUUGUUUACGGGUGUGUGAAAGAGAGGCAGAGAAAAAAGAGGGAGAGGGAGGGGGAGGGUGACAAUGCGGUAUCGAUAGAAAGAAAGAGCGA